UUUUUNUUUUUUUUUUUUGGUAUCAAAAAUUUGUUUUUUGAACUGGAUUAGUACCCAGGUAAUCAAAAUUUAUUAAUUCGGGAGUAAAGUUUUGUUUAAACCGAAAAAAUAUUGACUGACUUUAGAUUUUUCUUUGGAAUAUGUGAUUUUGUUGGAGAGCCCUCUUUUUUGGUAAAUUUUGUUGGCACAUGUAUGAUUGUUUAGUUUUUAUUUUAUUUUGUAAUGCUUUUUUUGUUUUGGCAUUUAAAACAGAUAUAUAUUUGGUUUAUAAAUUUAUUUUUCAUGUGUUACUAUUAUAAAUUUUUUUUGGAUUAAUUUUUUAUUUUUUUUUGA
rnacentral:rRNA from 1 species